AAAUACCCUUAUUUAUUUUUCUUUGUAAAUAAAAUACCCUUAUUGGUUAGUAACUGACUAUUGUAAAUUACCCUUUGUUUGUUAAUACAAAUAUAUAAGUGUAUGUUGCAUACAUCAUAGUUUGAUUGAAGUGAGAACCCGAGCAAAUGGAUAACAUGACAUAUAUAUAAUACUUACGGUCUAAUGCUAAAUUGAUGUUUAUUUCCUUAUGAUGUAUAAAAAGUGUUAAUUUCAUCUAACAAAGUUAUGUUGCUCGAGAAAAUUAAUAAAGCAAAAUGAAGGGCAAGAAUGACAUAGAAGUAAUGAUGACUAAAAGAACAAAAAGAAAUUGUGGGGUGUGAGUGUUUGAGGAAAGGAGAAAGAAAAUCGAAAAUAGACAUUCACAGUGGCUGAGCGAUGAUUAACAGUAAUUGCGGUGUUUCAUCUGUUCUCUGCAAGGCAGAAAUAGUGAAUUCGGAGCUGUUUUUAAAAAUAGCAUUUUAACGGUCAAGUCAGAUAACUGAAAGUAUAUGGUAGAGAGAGAAAGUGCAAGUAAAUAGCUGAGAUGAGUUAAAUGUACAUACCUUUUAGUGAAUAAGGACUGGACUUAUAUAGUAUAAUUCGGCGCGUGCUUGGACGCGCCAACUAUAAUGUAUUUGGAUGGACUGCAGUUUAACACGUGCUUGGACGUGCUGACAGCUAUGUUAGCGAGAAGGCAGCCGAUUCAAUUAUGCCCCUAGAGUCUGUCGUUAGCUAGCCAUUAUGUCACUGAUGUCUCGAUCUAGGUUUUGGGCUGUUAGAAGGGACCUUGCUGCCUAAGUCACCUUUUGUCCCAUGAUGUACUCAGGAUCGCUGUCGACCAUUGCCUCUCGACCAAGUUUUAAUGCAAUAACCCUGUCGAGCUUGCUAUAGAACAACAGCCUAGCAACGAUACUUGUCCUAACUUGACCAUAACUAAUGUCCGGUAGUGUUUUGACCGAGUUCGAACGUAGAGACCUCGCCGACUUGCUAUAUAACGGCAGCUUGAUAGCAGUGCUUGCUCUAUCUCAACAAGAACUGAUGUUCAAUAUUUUUAUCCCCUUACUAAAAUCAUUAAGAAAAAUCCAAUAGAGAAUCAAAAUCAUUUGCACUAUAUACCAUCUUAAAACUGUAUCAUUAAGCACUGUAUUAACAGAUAUGAAUGGGUUCCACGGCAGAAGAUGCGAUUGCCUUUAUAGCAUAGAGUAUAUCUAUAGCCAAUUGUGGUAAUGAUUGCAAGAACUAGCCCAAUAUUAUCCACCUAUGAACUUGUGCCACGACUAUGGAUGGGACAUAUGACAAUUCCACCUCUACGAGUAUGGGUGAUCUGAGUAGAUUAUUCAUAACAAAAAUUAAAUUAAUUGGAUCACUUGAUUUAAUUAUUUUUUUUUAAAAAAAUGGAUGAAAAGUAUAGCUGUAAAAAAAUCCUAUAGACCAAAUACGGUACUUAAUUAUAUAAUUAUUGAUGUUCAAUCAAUUUAACAUUUUUUUUUGUAGUUACUUUACUCAACAAAUUCUACGAAAUGAACACACUUGAUCAAAUUAUUUGACUCUUAGUGGGUCCACUAUCGCACUAAUAGCACCGUACACGCACCCCAAAUCCGAAGGAAAUCCAAUCCAAUGUGGCCAUGCCCCAACUUUUCACUUCUUUUCAAGACACCCCCCAUGCCUAAAUCAUGAAAUGUGGGAAACAAUGUGGCCAUGAACUGAUCAAUUUUGUUGCACCCCAUAUCUUAGGCCAACACAUAUCUUAUUUGCGCUAUUAUGCACCUUGGAAUCAAACCAAUUUUGGAUUAAAUAACCUCUUGAUUGGUAGAGCUUGCUUAGGGCAAUGAGAGCUUGAUCAGCAUGCAUUCUCCAUAGUUCACAGGAAUUUAACAAACAUUAGAGAAACAUAUAGAAUUUGUCCGAAUAUAAGAGUACAUUAUGCUAUACAAAGAGAGCGAGAAAGAGAUGGAUCACUUGAACCGGCAUUGGUGUGUUGAGUCUUGCAUAAGAAGUCUAAACGGAAAUCUUGGUUGUACAAGUAAGAGCUGUUAACCCAGUGACACAUUCUAUAGCCGAUCACUCAUUUUUGAGCUAACCAUUAAACAAAAGCAACAAGGGAUAAUUGCACCGAUUACAAGCGACUCCAACCACCGUUGAUGUAUGUUGAGUUCUACAAUUACAAAUUUGUGUGAAAAAAUUUAACGUAUACAAGUAGAAAUUAACUAGUGACGAAAAUUAUAUCAUUGGACAGUGACAGAGCCAGAACUUAAGUUUAAUGGAAUUUAAAUUGUCAGAUUUUUUAUUCAGUUAGGUCAAGAUUAUAGAAUUUAUAGAAUUUAGGACAAAUUAUUAAUUUUUUAUGAGGUCAAAAUUGUCAGAACUUAAAUUUAAUUGAGUCAAAAUUGUCAGAACUUAGGUUCAGUGAGUUUAAAAUUAUAAAAUUUAUAAAAUCUAAGAUAAAUUAGUAUUUUUUUGUGGGGUCAAAAUUAUAUUUAUAAUAAAUUAUAUUAUAACUAGUAGUGUAAUUUUUUUUUCAAUGGGGUCAACUGACCCCACUUUUCUUAGCAUGGCUCCGCCUAUGUCCUUGGCCAACCAUCUUUUCUCUCGUCUCAUUUAAUAAUCUUAAAUUUUCAAAUAACCUCAAUCUUAAGGUACUUUAUAUGGAUGAUGCUAAUUACCGCUCAUUAGACAGCGGUUAAGGAGCACGUAUAGUGCCAAAUAUAUUAGGAUCUCAAUACACAUUUUAUAAAUGCGUACACUUUAAGAUAAUUCUAAGAUUUUUUUGCACUUUAUCAGUCUAUUGAGCCGUGGUUAACAUUUUUCCCUCUCCGAUGAUUGGGUGACACGUGUACACCAACAUAUUUGCACAUUACAUAUUUUGAAUCCAAGGAAACCAACAUUCUUUUUCCUGCACAAGGCACUUGCAACAUGACAAGUGACAACAAAUUCAGAUGAGAGCAAAAUACAUGGGGUCUCAUGCAUAAUUAUUGUGUUUUGUUGGUCCCUGUCACCAACGACAAUACUAGCUCCAGUAGGAAUAAAUAAACAUGUCGAAAAAAAAAAGACGAAUUUUGUGUCAUUUGUUUGGUCUGUUUGAGGAAAUGUUUUUGGCUUCAAGGUGAACAAUGAUGUAUGGAGGGAAUGAAAUAUGUGUACUGAAUGUACAAUCCACCAUAUACGUGUCAUGCCUGUGUAUAUCCUGUUGAGCCCUCCGCAAUUGGGUCUGCGACACGUGGAUUCUACUGACUUGAUUUCUUGCAAAUCAGAAGAUCUACUGAGGAUAUUCUGGUUUUGUCAAUUAUGAGGGACAAGUGUUUGGCAAGAAAAAUAUAUUUUAUGCAGUGCAUGAAUAAUAUAUGUUUAUAUAUAAUGACACUUGUAAUUUUUUAAGAUAUACUUAUUGUAAAUAUGUAUUGUAUAAAAUGUAUCGUUUUUAUAUUUUUUGUACUUAGUUACUUAUACUAGUUUGAUGUUGUGGCAAUACGAUAAGUAUAUAUUAUGGAAACGGUAGGGGUAGGGGUAUUUUGUGAAAUACCGAAUAAAUUAUUCUAUUUUAUAUGAAGUGGGAGUCCUACAAUAUCAUUUAAACAUGGAGCACACACUUGAUCGUGUGAGUAUGCAGUAAUAUAUGAGGUAUGUUAAGAAAUAUCCCUAGCUUUAUUCUUAUGAAAAAUUGGUUGCGUUUGUUUCGAUUUUUAGAAUAAUCUUCACAGUAUAUUUUAUAGAAAUUUGUUUGAUCGACGGUUUUCAAAACUUAUUUUUUGGUAUUUUUUCAUAAAAGAACGUAUUUUUAGAAUAUAUUGAAAAUACGUGUUUUCAAAUUCUCAAAAAUUAUUUUUACUAAAUAAUGAAUAAUAUAUCAAAACAAUAAAUAAUUUUAUUUUUAAAAUAAUUUUUAAAAUAAUAUUCUGCAAACUGAACCAAAUUUGAGUAAUUUAGAUAAUAGAUGUGGAACUGGUAUCUGCAACAUAGUGUCACAACACCCACUCUUCUAUUAACCCCACCUAUGCAUCAACAACACUUGCAUUGUUAUUAAGUACUAUUAAGUGGUAACCCCAAGAAAUUAGACUUUAUGAUAUGGAUGGAGAUUAAUCAUUGUUACCCCGGAUAGCAAACUGAGAAGAGGUGAAUAGGUUUGCACUUAAAUUGUUUAAUUAAAAUUAUUACAACUAAAAUUUUUUAAUUAAUUUUUCAUUAAUUGAAUACUUGCAAUGAUAAAUAUGACAAUAUCUUAUAAUAUGAGAAAGUAUAUAAUAUAAUUUGGAGGCUUAAAUGAGUUAAUGGAUAAGGAGAGUGAAAACAGAUUUAUAGUAGUUCGGUCAAACGUUGCUUACAUCCACUCUCUAAGUAUUCCUUGGGAUUCCACUAUCUCCUCAAGCUUGUGGGUACUUGAAAACUUUUACAACUGUUAGAGAAUCUCUAGUUUUUAAAAGAACAUCCUUUUUUAGAAUAUAAAAAAUAUCAAUCACUAGAGAAUCUCUAAUCUUCGAGAAAAUACCCUAUCUUAGAAUAUAAUUAAUCUCACAAGGUGAUUCUCUCAAAUGAAUAAAAUAUUUAGUAAGAAAAGCUCACAAGCACUCUAAUUGAAUGAUAAAUACAAUUAAGGAUCUCUAAAGUGAAUUUUAUCCUUUUAAUCUAACAAAUAUAACUCAACAAAAUGAUUAAAUGAUUGGAGUAUUGAAUGAAAGAGUAAAAAGAAUUUAUAGCACUUUCAUAUCAUUCCAACAACCCCAAUAUUUGAAUUUAUAGCCCCAUUAGCAAAUCUGCCUAUUGGAAUAGUAAUAAAGUCGUUAGAUUUCAAUCUGGACUGUUGGAUCAUAAUUUGGAUGCUCAAGAUCAAGAAAUUUAAAUUUCGAUCGCAACUUCGGUCGACCAAACUUCAACUUCGGUCGAGGUUUCAUUGAUUCCAGAGACUGCUCAAAACAUUGGUCAAUGUUUUUCCAAAUUUUGGUCGACCGAACUUCAAACUUUCGUCGACCAAACUUUUUCGGUCGACUAAAUAUGCUUCAUUAAAA
rnacentral:lncRNA from 1 species